UCUCCUUUUUUGUGCACCAUUUUCAGGCAGGGAUAAUUUUGUCAGGGAUAGCGGGCUCUGAGCAAAACUUUCUGUUCUGCAUUUGGCUUGUCUCCACAGGGAUUAGGUGGAGGUGAACGAUGAAAGAAAGAUACAAAGUCUGCCUCUGAAAAGCCCCUUCUUGACCAUUUCAUCUCAGCCCUCACAGUGUUGCCACCUUCACAUCUGUGUGCAACUGCCCACCACGGCACGCAAAACGAUGUAAUUUAUAACAUACUGACAUAACCUGGGGCAAAACAGGGUUUCCCUUCUGCUAAAAACACUGCUGAAUCACUCACCUCCUGUCAUGGAAAACUCCUUGAGCCAAAUUCUGACUUCUAAAGAGAAAGCUAGAUAUGGCUUGGGGGGGAGGAAGAAGGAUAGCCUGGUAAUUGUGGGACAGAAGGGAAAAAAUUAGCAAGUCUGGAUCCUUUUUAGCACCUAUCCACACCUGUUUAUGCAAAACAGGUAAAUAAUACUUAUUGUUACUGCUAAUCUGUUCAAAUACUGUGAGAGUACAUCACAACACCUUAGUGAAGAGUCCUUUGUUUUUCAUAGGUAUCCAAGUUCAAGGUAGAAAGCAGAGCCCAGAUGUGCACCACAGCCUUGGUCAGCAGAGUUUCAGGUUUCAGAGAAUCCCCUCUCUUCAAGGGAAGCACCAUCUCAUAAGUACAGACCCAUUGAGCAGGACUCAGCCUCCUGAGGAGCGAUCCCUCGCUGGAAAGCGUGGUCGUUCAGGCAGGUCUGGCAGAGUGGAGGCUCAAGCUCCGAAUCUCCUGGAGGUAAAUGCAUCACAGUGGACCCCGGGUAUUUGAGGCUGAAGAUGCUUCUGUGACUUCCUACCAGAGUGUAUCCAGUAAUUGCCUACAAAGUAUGAGCAUGCCUACACUGAACAUCUGGAAUGAGAAGACAUCAUUGAAAAGACCUUCACAAACUUGUUCCUAAGCUUUCAAGAUGUACAAGGGGACCUCUUGGACCAUGAGCCUUGGUUGUGGACAUUGUUUGCCAUGAGACCAAUUGCCUGGGGCAGCAAGUUCUAGAAACUCCCAUUUUCUCAUAGUACAAAGAGCUGUCAUUGUCUCUUCUGCUCAGUCAUAAAUGUGUCUUGCACAUGUGGAAGGAUUGAAUACAGUCUCUAGCUCUAUAGCAAUAAAAUUAUCUUCAGAUGGGAACUGUCCAUACUUAAUAUG